rnacentral:rRNA from 1 species
UACGUAGGGUGCGAGCGUUGUCCGGAAUUAUUGGGCGUAAAGAGCUUGUAGGCGGUCUGUCGCGUCUGCUGUGAAAAUCCGGGGCUCAACCCCGGACUUGCAGUGGGUACGGGCAGACUAGAGUGUGGUAGGGGAGACUGGAAUUCCGGGUGUAGUGGUGAAAUGCGUAGAGAUCCGGAGGAACACCAGUGGCGAAGGCGACACGCUGGGCCGUACCUGACGCUAAAGCGCGACAGCAUGGGGAGCAAACGGG